rnacentral:rRNA from 1 species
UACACUCCUGCGGGAGGCAGCAGUGGGGAAUAUUGGACAAUGGGCGCAAGCCUGAUCCAGCCAUGCCGCGUGAGUGAUGAAGGCCCUAGGGUUGUAAAGCUCUUUCACCGGUGAAGAUAAUGACGGUAACCGGAGAAGAAGCCCCGGCUAACUUCGUGCCAGCAGCCGCGGUAAUACGAAGGGGGCUAGCGUUGUUCGGAUUUACUGGGCGUAAAGCGCACGUAGGCGGACUAUUAAGUCAGGGGUGAAAUCCCGGGGCUCAACCCCGGAACUGCCUUUGAUACUGGUAGUCUUGAGUUCGAGAGAGGUGAGGGGAAUUCCGAGUGUAGAGGUGAAAUUCGUAGAUAUUCGGAGGAACACCAGUGGCGAAGGCGGCUCACUGGCUCGAUACUGACGCUGAGGUGCGAAAGCGUGGGGAGCAAAUAGGAUUAGAAACCCUUGUAGUCCCAUGA